rnacentral:rRNA from 1 species
CGGAAUAUACGCUCAUCAGACACCACAAAAGGUGUUAGUUCAUCUAGACAGCAGGACGGUGGCCAUGGAAGUCGGAAUCCGCUAAGGAGUGUGUAACAACUCACCUGCCGAAUGAACUAGCCCUGAAAAUGGAUGGCGCUUAAGCGUAUUACCCAUACCUCGCCGCCAGGGUAGAAACGAUGCCCUGGCGAGUAGGCAGGCGUGGAGGCCCGUGACGAAGCCUUCGGAGGAUCCCCGGGGA